rnacentral:rRNA from 1 species
CAAUAGCGUAUAUUAAAGUUGUUGCAGUUAAAAGCUCGUAGUUGGAUUUCGGGACGGGCCAGUUGGUCCGCCGCAAGGUGUGUUACUGACUGGUCUGUUCUUCUUCGCAAAGACUUCGUAUGCUCUUCGUUGAGUGAGCGUAGGAUUUACGACGUUUACUUUGAAAAAAUUAGAGUGUUCAAAGCAGGCUAUCGCUUGAAUACAUGAGCAUGGAAUAAUGGAAUAGGACUUUGGUCCUAUUUUGUUGGUUUCUAGGACCGAAGUAAUGAUUAAGAGGGACAAUUGGGGGCAUCCGUAUUUCGUUGUCAGAGGUGAAAUUCUUGGAUUUACGAAAGACGAACAACUGCGAAAGCACUUGCCAAGAGUGUUUUCAUUAA